rnacentral:lncRNA from 1 species
ACUGAUUGACAGCAAAGGCUACUCUUCAAGGGAGAAAGAGCUAUUUUUUGGCCAGACCAUCCCCUUAGUCUUGAGGAAUGCUGUCCAGGAUGAGGAAUGAUAGGGAGAGAGCCUGGGAGUCAACAGUUGGACAUAAAGGAUCAAAGAAAGGAAUGGGCAUAAAAGGAGAGGAGCCCAAGCAUGGAAAAGAGGAGAACAGAGAAGGGAGUCCUGAGGAGGAAGGAGGCAUCUGACACAACAGUGGUAAAAGCAUCCUUAGGAAACCCUGCUGUGUAUUGUGUCCUAUAGCUCUCCCACCACCUCUUCCUCAAGAGUCUUUGAGUGAAGCCCUCUGUGGCUUCCCCAGGCUUUUUUCUUUUUUCUUUUUGCAUGGGUAAGAUUUGUGUAUUUCAGGUUGUGAAACUGCGCUGAGAUUGUGCUCCAGGUGGCCCAGCGUAGUCCGAGUGCAUCGUCCUUCUGCAUCACCACCAGGGAGUGUGAUAGAAUUUGCAGACUUUGUGCCACAGAGAAAAAAUAGGUUUAAGAACUUUGACUUAGGAGUAAGUCAAAGAUGCCCUGACACAUACUAGUUAGAAUGGCAAACAAUUUUUUAAUAAUGAAAAAUGCCAAGUUUUGUUUAGAAUGUGGAAGAACUGGGAUGCUCAUUCACCGAUAGUGGGAUGUAAAUUGUUACAGGCAUAACGACUUUGGAAAACAAUUUGUCAGUAUCUAUUAAAGCAGAACAUACAUAUACCCUGUGGCCUGGCAAUUAGCUUCUGGGUGGAUGCUCAAUUGGAGUGUGUACAUAUGUGCACCAAAAGACAAACUAUUCAUAAUAUCUUCAAACUGCCCAUCAAUAGCAGAAGUCAUAAAUAUGGUGUAUUCAAGGAUGGAAUUCUACAUAGUAAUGAUCAUGAGCCAUCUACAACUAUACGUGACAAUGAGGCCAAUUCUCACAAACAGAAUGCUGAGUGAAAGAAGUAAGAUAAAGAGUUUCUGCUCUAGGAUUCUAUAUACAUAUGGAGUACAAAUACAGGGAACACAUAUCAGUGAGGUUAGAGGUCGGGAUGAUAGUUACCCUUGGGGAGGGGUUGGUGACAGGAAGGGAGUACAAAGGGGAUUUCUGCAAUGUUGAUAAUGUUUUGUCUUCUUAUCUGGAUAAUGGUUACAUGGUUGUGUUCAGUUUGUGAAAAUAUAGCAAAUUGUUUAGUUAUUAUGUGUGCACUUCUUGGUAUGUAUAUCACAUUUCAAUAAAAAGUAAAACCUAAAAAAUGAGUUAAAAUUUUUGCCACACUUUACAUACUAGCUUUUUUUUCAGAAGGUCAUAAUUCUCUCAUAAAAAUACUGAGCAAGACUAUAAUUGAAUACUGAAUCACUGCAUACUCAUCAAAUCCUGAUACAAAACAAACAAACAAACAAAAAAU